rnacentral:misc_RNA from 1 species
AAGUCGUAACAAGGUUUCCGUAGGUGAACCUGCGGAAGGAUCAUUAUUGAAUAACUUGGCAUUGAUGCUGGCUCUCUCGGGAGCAUGUGCUCGUGUCAUAUUAUUUACUAUCUCUUGUGCACCUUUUGUAGUCUUUGAAGUGUAAACUAUGCACGGUCUUUAUUGACUGUGGUAUGAGGAACUGGGCCUGGCUCUUUCCUUGCUUCGCUUCAAAGGCUAUGUUUUCAUACACCCUUUAAAAGUUACAGAAUGUCUUAUUAUUGACUGCGAAGUCAGUAAAUCUAUACAACUUUCAGCAACGGAUCUCUUGGCUCUC